GGCGGACGGGUGAGUAACACGUGGGGAACCUAUCCAUCAGCGGGGGAUAACACUUGGAAACAGGUGCUAAUACCGCAUACGGCUUUUUUUCACCUGAAAGAAAGCCAAAGGUCACUGAUGGCUGGCCCCGCGGUGCAUUAGCCAGUUGGUGAGGUAACGGCUCACCAAAGCAACGAUGCAUAGCCGACCUGAGAGGGUGAUCGGCCACACUGGGACUGAGACACGGCCCAGACUCCUACGGGAGGCAGCAGUAGGGAAUCUUCGGCAAUGGACGCAAGUCUGACCGAGCAACGCCGCGUGAGUGAAGAAGGUUUUCGGAUCGUAAGCUCUGUUGUCAGCAAAGAUGACGGUAGCUGACCAGAAAGCCACGGCUAACUACGUGCCAGCAGCCGCGGUAAUACGUAGGUGGCAAGCGUUGUCCGGAUUUAUUGGGCGUAAAGCGAGCGCAGGCGGUGAUUUAAGUCUGAUGUGAAAGCCCCCAGCUCAACUGGGGAGGGUCAUUGGAAACCGGAUCACUUGAGUGCAGAAGAGGAGAGUGGAAUUCCAUGUGUAGCGGUGAAAUGCGUAGAUAUAUGGAGGAACACCAGUGGCGAAGGCGGCUCUCUGGUCUGUAACUGACGCUGAGGCUCGAAAGCGUGGGUAGCAAACAGGAUUAGAUACCCUGGUAGUCCACGCCGUAAACGAUGAGUGCUAAGUGUUGGAGCUUCAGUGCUGCAGUUAACGCAUUAAGCACUCCGCCUGGGGAGUACGACCGCAAGGUUGAAACUCAAAGGAAUUGACGGGGGCCCGCACAAG
rnacentral:rRNA from 1 species